AGUAUUGCUUUAUAUCAAGUAUGGAGUUUGUACGAGGAUAUGAUAACUCUUUAGUUGUCUAAUUUAUAUGCAUCCACCUGUGUACUUUUGGCGGUAGAUAAUCUAAUUGGUAGGAGGGUUGCAGAAUCCAUGUCACAUGCAAACAGACUCAAGAAAUGUUUCUAAAAGUGCUCAAGUGGAUGUUUACGAGUUUCACAACAGCCCAUGUAUUCAAGUCAUACACAACAAUUAUUGCUUUAUAUCAAUAAGUGACUCAGUGCUGCAGAAUCCGUGUCACAUGCAAACUGACUCAAGAAAUGUUUCAAGUCAUAUCAUAGCCACACUUGCUGCUCUCCUUGUAAUCAUGGAUUUCUGAUGUAAGCCUUGGGUUGGGCGUGGGAAGUUCUAGGAAAUCUCUCAUUGAGUUUGAUACUAAGGAAUUCAUAGUGGAAUUUGGACGUGAACUGGUUACUCAUUGAACUGUUCUUAAAAUUUCAGAUCUACCAACUGUUUGUUCACAUGUUGCAUAAAAUUUCUUUAUGUAAGUGAUGGAGGGGGAAGGAAGAGAGAAAGAUAUUGUGAGAGGGAGAUGGGGAUGGAAUGAACAGAGAAUGAAUGCUAAUGACUAUAUCGGAAAAAAUUAAUUUGGGAUCUCGGGGAUGGUGGAGUAUGUUGUGAUUAGCCAAGUAGCCAAAGGAGGUUCUAUAUAGAUGAUACUGAAGAUGCGUGCAUAUGGUUGGAUGAUGUUGGAGAGACAAUUUUAUCUUGUCUUGUCACUCCUCUUUCCCAUUCAUGUUGUUUUUAUUUGUUUGGACAAUUGAAUAAAUUUCCUUAAGCAAAGUUCCUCUUUUGAAGCCUAAAAUCCAAAUUGACCAUAUAUUGUAAGCGAAUAAACAGGUUGAAAUCUUUUUGAGUCAAGGGGCCUAUGUGAAACCUUUCACAAGAUUCAAUGGUUGCCAGUAUUCUAACUUUUGAUUACCAAGUGAACGGAGGGGAUGACGAGCAACAGAAAUUAUUCAUGGUUCCACAUACUUGAUGGCUAUACCACACAAAUAGCAUAAAGUUGACGCUAUUUGCUUGGUAUAAAUAUUAGGUAUUGCACGAAUUAUAAAUGCUUAACACAAACAUGGUGUGCACUUAGCAUAAACAAAGAUGAUGGCAUUAUUAUUUCUACUAACAAAUAUCAGCUUUGGGGAAGUGCUAAAUGGGAGAAGUCUGAUUUUUCUAAGAGAGCUGGUUUGAAUACGCUGUUUGUAAUCCUGUCGUGUACCAUUGCAGUCGGAACCAAUAUAAGCCAAUUCAUCUGCGUUGGCAGAUUCACAGCAGUGUCAUUUCAAGUGCUUGGUCAUAUGAAGACCAUUCUAAUCUUAACAGUAGGAUUUUUGUUCUUCGGAAAAGAGGGACUAAAUCUUCAAGUGGUUUUGGGAAUGAUUGUUGCAGUGAUAAGCAUGAUUUGGUAUGGCCAUGUCUCAUCUCUGCCAGGAGGUAAAGAGCGACGCCAAUCUCUGCCCAAUUAUGGACCGGAAAAAGAUGACAGGUUAAUAAAAUCCAACAAGCUUGAUGAUGAGGUCUAGUGACUAAAUCUUGAAGAUAAUAGUAAAAUGAAGCUAAAAACUUCUAGUUUUAGCAGAUUUUCAGUUUUUCUUUACUGCUAAAGUGAGGUUCAUUUUACUCACUGGUCAAUCAUUUACCUACAUAUUUAUUUUCUAUAGCAAUAACUUUUUAAGUUC